UACGAGGGGGGCGAGCGUUGUUCGGAAUUAUUGGGCGUAAAGGGUGCGUAGGCGGUUUGGUAAGUCUGAUGUGAAAUCUAUGGGCUCAACUCAUAGUCUGCAUCGGAAACUGCCGGGCUUGAGUAUGGGAGAGGUGAGUGGAAUUCCUGGUGUAGCGGUGAAAUGCGUAGAUAUCAGGAGGAACACCGGUGGCGAAGGCGGAUCUCUGGGCCGAUACUGACGCUGAGGAGCGAAAGCGUGGGGAGCGAACAGG
rnacentral:rRNA from 1 species